CAGUCGCCACGGUAAAACAGAGGGUGCGAGCGUUAAUCGGAUUUACUGGGCGUAAAGCGUGCGUAGGCGGCUUUUUAAGUCGGAUGUGAAAUCCCUGAGCUUAACUUAGGAAUUGCAUUCGAUACUGGGAAGCUAGAGUAUGGGAGAGGAUGGUAGAAUUCCAGGUGUAGCGGUGAAAUGCGUAGAGAUCUGGAGGAAUACCGAUGGCGAAGGCAGCCAUCUGGCCUAAUACUGACGCUGAGGUACGAAAGCAUGGGGAGCAAACAGGAUUAGAUACCCCUGUAGUCCCUGUCUCUUAUAU
rnacentral:rRNA from 1 species